rnacentral:rRNA from 1 species
UCAUUUGAGAGUUUGAUCCUGGCUCAGGAUGAACGCUGGCGGCGUGCUUAACACAUGCAAGUCGAACGAAGCGGCUGGACGGAAGUUUUCGGAUGGAAGACCGGCUGACUGAGUGGCGGACGGGUGAGUAACGCGUGGGUAACCUGCCGUAUACAGGGGGAUAACAGAGAGAAAUUUCUGCUAAUACCGCAUAAGCGCACAAAGACCGCAUGGUCCGGUGUGAAAAGCCGAGACGGUAUACGAUGGACCCGCGUCUGAUUAGGCAGUUGGUGGGGUAACGGCCUACCAAACCGACGAUCAGUAGCCGGCCUGAGAGGGUGGACGGCCACAUUGGGACUGAGACACGGCCCAAACUCCUACGGGAGGCAGCAGUGGGGAAUAUUGCACAAUGGGGGAAACCCUGAUGCAGCGACGCCGCGUGAGCGAAGAAGUAUUUCGGUAUGUAAAGCUCUAUCAGCAGGGAAGAAGAAAGACGGUACCUGACUAAGAAGCCCCGGCUAACUACGUGCCAGCAGCCGCGGUAAUACGUAGGGGGCAAGCGUUAUCCGGAUUUACUGGGUGUAAAGGGAGCGCAGACGGCAUGGCAAGUCUGAAGUGAAAGGCAUGGGCUCAACCCGUGGACUGCUUUGGAAACUGUCAGGCUAGAGUGUCGGAGAGGCAAGUGGAAUUCCUAGUGUAGCGGUGAAAUGCGUAGAUAUUAGGAGGAACACCAGUGGCGAAGGCGGCUUGCUGGACGAUGACUGACGUUGAGGCUCGAAAGCGUGGGGAGCAA